AUGGCUCCAAAACUGUUAUCCCAGGAUAACAGCAAAGAGUAAAUUAAAAUCCCUGGAUUCUCACCCACACUGAGCUGGAAUAAAGCCUGAAGGAUUCCUAUUGCUCCAUGAAAAUGGCUCCAAACUCACUGGGAUAACAGCAAAGGUCAAGGUAAAAUCCCUGGAUCCUCACCCACACUGAGGGGGAAUAAAUCCUGAAGAAUUCCCAUAAAAAUGGCUCCAAACUCACUGGGAUAACAGCAAAAAUCAGGUUAAAAUCCCUGGAUUCUCACCCAGACUGAGCUGGAAUAAAUCCUGCAGGAUUCCCAUUGCUCCAUGAAAAAUGGCUCCAAAACUGUUAUCCCAGGAUAACAGCAAAAAUCAGGUUAAAAUCCCUGGAUCCUCACCCAGACCAGGCUGCUGAACAUUCCCAUGGAAUAAAUCCUGCAGGAUUCCCAUUGCUACACAAAAAUGGCUCCAAAACUGUUAUCCCAGGAUAACACCAAAGAUAAGUUAAAAUCUCUGGAUCCUCACCCAGAAUGAGGUGGAAUAAAGCCUGAAGGAUUCCCAUUUUUCCAGGAAAACAGCCCCAAACUGCCUGGGAUAACAGCAAAGAUCAGGUUAAAAUCCCUGGAUUCUCACCCACACUGAGGGGGAAUAAAUACUGAUGGAUUCCCAUUGCUCCAUAAAAAUGGCUCCAAAACUGUUAUCCCAGGAUAACAGCAAAAAUCAGGUUAAAAUCCCUGGAUCCUCACCCAGACCAGGCUGCUGAACAUUCCCAUGGAAUAAAUCCUGAAGGAUUCCCAUUGCUCCAUGAAAAAUGGCUCCAAAACUCACUGGGAUAACAGGAAAGGUCAGGUUAAAAUCCCUGGAUCCUCACCCAGAAUAAGCUGGAAUAAAUCCUGAAGGAUUCCCACUGAAAAUGGCUCCAAACUCACUGGGAUAACAGCAAAGAGCAAGGAAAAAUCCCUGGAUUCUCACCCACACCGAGCUGGAAUAAAUCCUGAAGGAUUCCCACUGCUCCAUGAAAAAAGGCUCCAAAACUGUUAUCCCAGGAUAACAGCAAAAAUCAGGUUAAAAUUCCUGGGUCUUCAGUCAGACCAAGCUGCUACAGAUUCCCAUGGAAUAAAUCCUGCAGGAUUCCCAUUGCUACACAAAAAUGGCUCCAAAACUGUUAUCCCAGGAUAACAGCAAAGAGAAGUUAAAAUCUCUGGAUCCUCAUCAGAGUGAGCUGGAAUAAAUCCUGAAGGAUUCCCACUGCAAAAGGGUCCCAAACUGCCUGGGAAAACAGCAAAAGUCAGGUUAAAAUCCUUGGAUUCUCACCCAGACUGAGGGGGAAUAAAUCCUGAAGGAUUCCCAUAAAAAUGGCUCCAAACUCACUGGGAAAACAGAAAAAAUCAAGUCAAAAUCCCUGGAUCCUCACCACACUGAUCUGCUGCCCAUUCCCACAGAUUAAAUCCUGCAGGAUUCCCAUUUUUCCAUGAAAACAGCCCCAAAGUGCCUGAGCUGAGCCCCCAAUCUGCUCCAUGGCUGCAGCCCAGAGCCAAAGUGCAAGGCUCUGAAAUUCCAGGUGUUCCAGGAGCCUUGGCAUCCCUGCCCUGCUGCUCCCCAGGGAUUGUUUUUGGAGCCUGGAACCUUCCUGUUGAAACAUCUCUCUAAUUGCAAUAAUUGAUCCUAAUUGCUCUCUGCAUUUCCAAAUUCCACAGGCAAGGCUAGGUUGCAUCCAAGCCCAGGAAAACAAUGAUGAGAUCCAAGCACUGCCCCAUUAUCUCUCUCUUUUUUGGUAUUUAAUGACCUAAGAAAGUUACAAAAGCCACUUUAAAUUACAUUUAGGUAGAUAAACUAAUUAAAUCUAUUUAGCUAAUACUGAGAAAAUAAAUCCCAAGCACCAUGAAGACAAAAAACAAUUAGAGAUGAGUAAUUCCAGGGUAAUUAAGGACUUUUUAUGGAGUCUCUGGAUGAGUUGGAGACCACUGGAAGUUGACCUCAUUCUCAUUUUCCAACAGUGUGGAAUGAGUGUGGAAUUUCCAAAUGAGUGAUUAGCCCAGAUUUAAUUAAGUUCUGCAUUCUGGGAGAACAAUUUUAUGACUCAUUACAUUUUUUUUUUUUGCCAGUUCUUAAUUUCAGGAAUGGCAGAUUUGCUGGGAAUUUCAGUGGAAUUUUCAGAGGAUUCUGAGCAUUACAACAAGCAAU